UGUUAUCUUUAAUAUGGUAAAAUCGGAUUAAUCUAAUACAACAAACAAUUUCAACUUGAUUUGAAAGUCAUCUCCCCUUUAGAGUCCUCCUCAGAGUUCCCCCUCUACAUCAGUCUGAGUGUUGGGGCCUUUUGCCUUAUUCUACUGGUUGUAUCUGUCCUGUGUUUUCUCCGGUACAAGCGAGGUACAUGCAUUCAAAUACUGAUACUUCAAGGCUUAAUUUGUUCCAAUGUACAUUUUGAGUUAUUUGUGUAUUAUACAUGUAAAAUCAGGGCUGGUUUAAUCUAUUAUAAUUUCCUAUUUAUUUCUGAAGGUGAUCAACAAGACUGGUCUGCCAAUAGAUCCCAAUGGAACCAGAACAAAGAAGUUAUCUAUGCAAAUGCUUAAUCAUUUCAACAAGGUGGUCUGAAUGUGGGGAUGCUGUGUGGUGCUAGUUCAAGUGUACUUCCACCUGUUGAUGAACUUCCUCCACAUCCUUUCUCUGCUUCCUGAUUUACAUAUCUAACACUCUCUGCUCUUCCUGUAGCCUGACAACAUUUGUUCCUCUCAGAUGAAUGGUGUAAUAUCUAACUGGGCAAGAAAUAGAUGUGCAAAGGGUUUAAGAUAUGAUCCAUUUGAAGUUUCACAUUGUUUAAAAAAAAAGAAGGGUAAAUACAUGUGUUAUUUUAUUACCUUGUUUAAAAAAAAAACUAUCUUGUUAUUUUAUUA